rnacentral:rRNA from 1 species
CAGCCGCCGCGGUAAUACCGGCGGCCCGAGUGGCGGCCACUAUUAUUGGGCUUAAAGCGUCCGUAGCCGGGUUGGUUAGUCUCCCGGGAAAUCUGGCCGCUUAACGGUCAGAAUUCCGGGAGAUACUGCCAGCCUAGGGACCGGGAGAGGCCGAGGGUAUUCCCGGAGUAGGGGUGAAAUCCUAUAAUCCCGGGAGGACCACCUGUGGCGAAGGCGCUCGGCUGGAACGGGUCCGACGGUGAGGGACGAAGGCCAGGGGAGCAAGCCGGAUUAGAUACCCGGGUAGUCCUGGCUGUAAAGGAUGCGGGCUAGGUGUCGGGUGAGCUUCGAGCUCGCCCGGUGCCGUAGGGAAGCCGUUAAGCCCGCCGCCUGGGGAGUACGGCCGCAAGGCUGAAACUUAAAGGAAUUGGCGGG